UUGGAUUAUAUCGAUCAAGAUAUGGUUAUUAAACAUAAAGGAUCCUCAGAGACUAAACG
rnacentral:tRNA from 1 species